rnacentral:rRNA from 1 species
UACGUAGGGACCGAGCGUUGUCCGGAAUCAUUGGGCGUAAAGAGCGUGUAGGCGGCCACUUAAGUCCUGCGUGAAAUCUUGCGGCUCAACCGCAAGCGGUCGUGGGAAACUGGGUGGCUAGAGUGCGGGAGAGGAGAGUGGAAUUCCUGGUGUAGCGGUGGAAUGCGCAGAUAUCAGGAAGAACACCCGUGGCGAAGGCGGCUCUCUGGAACGCAACUGACGCUGAGGAACGAAAGCUAGGGGAGCAAACAGG